rnacentral:rRNA from 1 species
UACGGGGGGGGCAAGCGUUGUUCGGAAUUACUGGGCGUAAAGGGCGCGUAGGCGGCCUGCUAAGUCGGACGUGAAAUCCCUCGGCUCAACCGAGGAACUGCGUCUGAUACUGGCGGGCUCGAAUCCGGGAGAGGGAUGUGGAAUUCCAGGUGUAGCGGCGAAAUGCGUAGAUAUCUGGAGGAACACCAGUGGCGAAGGCGGCAUCCUGGACCGGUAUUGACGCUGAUGCGCGAAAGCCAGGGGAGCAAACGGG